GAGGAAGAAGAAGAAGAAGAACAAAUGGAGGAGAUUACCAACACACCACAAAGUGGAUGGUUUAGGAAUGUUGAGGAGCCAUGGUUGAAUAGUAGAUCUCAAAAGAAGAAGAAAAAUCAAGUGUUUCUUGAAGGGUAUGUAGAAAAUUCAGAUGAAGAUGAAUUAGGGAGGACAAAGAGUUUGACUGAUGAUGAUUUAGAGGAGCUUAAAGGGUGUUUAGAUCUUGGUUUUGGUUUCAGUUAUGAUGAAAUUCCUGAGCUUUGUAAUACUUUACCAGCUCUUGAACUUUGCUAUUCUAUGAGCCAAAAGUACCUUGAUGAACAGCAAAAGUGUUCUGAUGCUAUGUCUGAUACUGGUUCUUCUGGAUCUGGUCAUGUUGCUAAUUGGAAGAUCUCUAGUCCUGGUGAUGAUCCUGAAGAUGUGAAAGCAAGGCUGAAAUACUGGGCUCAAGCUGUGGCAUGCACUGUUAAAUUAUGUAACUAAAAAGGGAAAAAUGGAAGCCAAGAAAAGCUUAAUGCAAGAUGAGAGGGGAAAUGAAAUGAUCUUUUCUUCAUAUGAAAGAGUACUUGUGCUGUGGUCUCUUUGCCUGGAUCCUGAAAAAAAAAAGGCUAUGGCCACAAGGCCAAGAAGAAGGUACCUCAUGCUUUACCUGAAGAUAGAUUCAAAAAGAAUCAUGUCCAUGAUGGGUAGGCAAAGUUUAAUCAAAAUCCCAAAGUAGAUGAAGAGGAAGGAAGAGAUGUUUCAGGGCUAAAAGAUUAACCAACACAUGGAAUAAAAUCUGACCUUUGAUAUAACUUUGUGUAUCAGUUUUAGUCCCAAGAUUGCAAUUCUUCUUCAUGUUUUAAUUUUGUUUUCUUAUGUAAUGCUGAUCAAAAUACUGUUCUUGGUUAUUAAUAAAUCAAGUUUCU
rnacentral:misc_RNA from 1 species